rnacentral:rRNA from 1 species
CCUACGGGGGGCUGCAGUGGGGAAUAUUGGACAAUGGGGGCAACCCUGAUCCAGCCAUGCCGCGUGUGUGAAGAAGGCCCGCGGGUUGUAAAGCACUUUCAGUGAGGAAGAACGCCUGGUGGUUAAUACCCAUCAGGAAAGACAUCACUCACAGAAGAAGCACCGGCUAACUCCGUGCCAGCAGCCGCGGUAAUACGGAGGGUGCGAGCGUUAAUCGGAAUUACUGGGCGUAAAGCGCGCGUAGGUGGCUUGAUAAGCCGGUUGUGAAAGCCCCGGGCUCAACCUGGGAACGGCAUCCGGAACUGUCAAGCUAGAGUGCAGGAGAGGAAGGUAGAAUUCCCGGUGUAGCGGUGAAAUGCGUAGAGAUCGGGAGGAAUACCAGUGGCGAAGGCGGCCUUCUGGACUGACACUGACACUGAGGUGCGAAAGCGUGGGUAGCAAACAGGAUUAGAUACCCCUGUAGUC